ACAGUACUCCCUCGGUCCGAAAAUACUUGUCGCACAAAUAGAUAAAAUUAUAUGUAUCUAGAACUAAUAUAUGUCUAGAUACAUCCAUUUUCCUGACAAGUAUUCUCAGACGGAGGGAGUACAUU
rfam:Triticum aestivum genome assembly, contig: Triticum_aestivum_CS42_TGACv1_scaffold_031012_1BL